AAAAACAUUUUUUUAAAUUGUAUUAUUCAUAACAGUAACACAAUUGUAUUGGUUUUGUGUUGUACAUAUUUGAUAUCUGAUACGCAAACAUAUUCUUGAAGUGAAAUAUUUUGCCAACAAUAGUUCUUCCCCAUAGUAAAUACUGGAAACCAUACAUUAUCCUACCGCACCCCAAAUUCGACGACACCUAAAUUCGACGAUGUUCUAUUUAUAUUGAUUAAAUGGAUGAUUAUUGUCUUUGAAUCAUUUCAAAACACCAAACGCAAAGCCUAUCCCAAGGCAAUGCCCCAUUUGCGUGGUAAAAGGCAACACGACUGUGUACCUCCGGGUAACAGACCACGUUCGCUGGGUGCAAGCGCUGACGGCAGACCCCAUGAAGCCGUUGAUGUCAGAGGCACGUGCUAAGACCGGUCGGAAAGUGAAGAAGAUAAAGCCGAGGAAUUACUACUCUUGCUGGCUGUGCGACCGGUCGGUGAUUGACCGGCUGCGUCAUCUAGAACAGGAGCACAAAAUGGAGGCUGGGACAUUCAAUUUUGUUUACACAAGAGGGCCGUUUCCGGAAAGUCGCGAAAACUUCAGGAAAGGUGACCAGCAGACUCGCCACUCAUGAUGACUCGGCAUAGGAGGAUGAGAAGGUGGAGGAUGAGGAGGAGGAGAAAGAGGACUUUUCAUUCCUAAUGCCGAAAUACUGCCUGAGCCUGGAACCCAAUGCAAGGGUGAUGCAUGGUCGGAGAAGCUGCAAUUUCAAUCGUUGACUCAUAUGUAGACUACAUGUUCCUGCGGAGCAGGCCAGGUGGGUUGGCAAACGAGUCAAAAACACAAGAGGUCAACAUGAAGAUCAACCGGUUCCUGGCCCUGUCUGGCUACUUGGAAGGAGUGGUGUUGAGUGACAUGCUGUUGUGGAUGGGCCAUAUGGAGGUCCACGACAGUUCCUCAACACCACUCACCAGCUGAAGACGGUGCGGAAUGCACUAACGGCAAUCAAGAACUUCCUGAAGUGGUGCGAGGGAAUGGUCUAGCGGACGCCCGCACAUUGAACAAUGCUUCCUGACCUCAACCUGCCUGGAUAAGAGCCGUCGCGAGGUUGUUCGGAGGGUAGAGGAGAGUGCGGCCAUCCUGACGGACGCAAACCUGGAGCGCCACUUCACUGAGAGUGAGCAUGUAGUGAAAACGAUCAAGGUGAUCCAGGAGCCCCCAGCUGGCACACCUGAAAGAUAUUCGGGGAAUAAUCAUUAAACUGAUAGCGCUCUAUAAUGCCUCCUGAACUGGCAAGUGUACCUAGAGAUUGAGCUGGAGACAGUGAAGGUGCUGACCUCUGUGUGGAACACUUAGAAGCUGGCAAGUUUUCAUAUUGAAGGGGUGCUGGAAGAUGCUUACUGCUAUAUUGACUGCUUCCGAGCGCUUCCUGGACCUAAAAAUUAUCUCCCAGCAGCAACCUCCCCAAGGUGUGACGAGAGUCUUCAAGUGUUCCAGACGGCUGGUGAUGCAUUUCAAGAAAAGCCAUCAGAAUCUUGCAAUGAUCUGUAUACUUAAUAAAUGA